rnacentral:lncRNA from 1 species
ACAUUACAAACAUUUUCCUAUUUGAUUCUCACAGUUGUGGAAAGGAAACUAGACUAACAGUUUGUGUGGGGGAAGGGCCAACUGGGAGUGGCAGUUGGGUCUUGUGACUAGCACUUCCUUCCUGCGGUGUAGGACUUGCGUCCUGGUGUUGGAGGAGAGAGGAGCUUGUUCAGCCCAGUCUGGAGUGGCAUGCUCUUCUUGGUUCAGCCCGAAGACACAGGCUUCUGAAGAUGAGAAAAUUAAAGAGAUUAAAUGAUUUGCCCAUGGGGCAGGAUUUGAACUCCCAUUACACCUCAACUGUCAGUCAAUCAGUAAGUAUUUGUUAAACUCCUAUUGUGUACCCAAGGUUGUAUGAGUGUUCAAGGAGGACUAG